rnacentral:rRNA from 1 species
CCUACGGGAGGCAGCAGUGAGGAAUAUUGCACAAUGGGGGAAACCCUGAUGCAGCGACGCCGCGUGAGUGAAGAAGUAUCUCGGUACGUAAAGCUCUAUCAGCAGGGAAGAAAAUGACGGUACCUGACUAAGCAGCCCCGGCUAACUACGUGCCAGCAGCCGCGGUAAUGCGUAGGGGGCAAGCGUUAUCCGGAUUUACUGGGUUUAAAGGGAGCGUAGACGGCAGCACAAGUCUGGAGUGAAAUCCCGGGGCUUAACCCCGGAACUGCUUUGGAAACUGUGCGGCUGGAGUGCAGGAGGGGUAGGCGGAAUGCGUGGUGUAGCGGUGAAAUGCAUAGAUAUUAGGAAGAACACCGGUGGCGAAGGCAGCUUACUGGACUGUAACUGACGUUGAGGCUCGAAAGCGUGGGGAGCGAACAGGAUUAGAUACCCCAGUAGUC